UACAGAGGGUGCAAGCGUUGUUCGGAAUUAUUGGGCGUAAAGCGCGUGUAGGCGGCUUUGCAAGUCGGGUGUGAAAGCCCUCAGCUCAACUGAGGAAGUGCGCCCGAAACUGCAUGGCUUGAGUACCGGAGAGGAUGGUGGAAUUCCUGGUGUAGAGGUGAAAUUCGUAGAUAUCAGGAGGAACACCGGUGGCGAAGGCGACUUCCUGGACACCAACUGACGCUGAGACGCGAAAGCGUGGGGAGCAAACAGG
rnacentral:rRNA from 1 species